CUUGUACACACCGCCCGUCACACCAUGGGAGUGGGUUUCACCAGAAGUAGGUAGCCUAACCAUAAGGAGGGCGCUUACCACGGUGGGAUUCAUGACUGGGGUG
rnacentral:rRNA from 1 species